GACGAACGCUGGCGGCGUGCCUAAUACAUGCAAGUUGAGCGCUGAAGGUUGGUACUUGUACCAACUGGAUGAGCAGCGAACGGGUGAGUAACGCGUGGGGAAUCUGCCUUUGAGCGGGGGACAACAUUUGGAAACGAAUGCUAAUACCGCAUAAAAACUUUAAACACAAGUUUUAAGUUUGAAAGAUGCAAUUGCAUCACUCAAAGAUGAUCCCGCGUUGGAUUAGCUAGUUGGUGAGGUAAAGGCCCACCAAGGCGAUGAUACAUAGCCGACCUGAGAGGGUGAUCGGCCACAAUGGGACUGAGAAACGGCCCAAACUCCUACGGGAGGCAGCAGUAGGGAAUCUUCGGCAAUGGACGAAAGUCUGACCGAGCAACGCCGCGUGAGUGGAGAAGGUUUUCGGAUCGUAAAACUCUGUUGGUAGAGAAGAACGUUGGUGAGAGUGGAAAGCUCAUCAAGUGACGGUAACUACCCAGAAAGGGACGGCUAACUACGUG
rnacentral:rRNA from 1 species